GGAAGAACUCUGUGGGAUUCCACCAGAGAUGACGCGCAGAAUCCGAUUGUGUCAAGGGAGCUCCGCUUCUAUUUACUUGCAACUGGCCUCAUCCUGUGCUGCGUUUGUUACAAGCUAGUUAGUCGUCUGUGCCAUUGCAGCCCGCUUAAAUCACUAACCUGAUACCAAUUCUUCGCAAAUACUCGUGUUGUCUACGCAAAGCUCGAGGAGUCAAAGGUGGACGAUAGUCUUUAGUUCUAUCACCUGCCGCAAGACAACACAAAGCAAACAGUGUGUGAGCCACAAGCUUGGAGCAUGGCGAGAAAACAAAUCUCACACCUGGGCUGCGAGUACACAGUGGUGAGUUUGGUGGAAAAGCCUCAGUCCUCGGCCGUGCCGUUCGCCUGGAGCACCUAAUCAAAACUAAUACUUUAACACACAAGAAAAAGUAAAGGAAGAACAACAUCGAAAAGUCUCACCUUUUCCAAGUGUUGGCCUCAUAAAAUGAAUUUCACCCUCCACACCCACCGCGAGCAAUUGCACGUCGAUCGAUUCUUUAAACCUCGUCGCGAAAUCCCACUCCAGCGCGAGGUAGCCGAUGGGAUUCCAGGCAGCUACCUGAGCAGUCACAGGCAUUUAGAACCAAAACAAUCAGGCCCUGGCUGUCUAUAAGAUUGGUCCAUACCUCUCGCUGACGCUAGACACAUCUCUCCACAUCGGGCCCCGGGAAAAUGGAGAAUCUCCCACUCACGACCAUCUUCAGCAGCUUCUUCA
rnacentral:lncRNA from 1 species